AUGGCGAGCAGCGGCGAGGUGCACAGAUCGCUGCAGGCGGUGGCGCAGGGGCUGCGCUGGACGUACGCCAUCCUCUGGCAGCUCUGCCCCGACCAAGGGUACAGCAACAACAACACCAGCUCCAUCGUCGCAAUGUUCAUAUCUCACUUGCAUAAUUGCUUCAUCUGUCCAUGCUCAACACAAGUGUUUUUUGAAUUUCUUUUGCUCGUCACGGGAAUCAAUGGGAUGCAUGGCAGCGCGCUGGUGUGGACGGAGGGCCACUACAACGGCGCCAUCAAGACGCGCAAGACGGUGCAGCCGGCCGUCGCCCAGGCGCAGGCGCCGGCGGCGGAGGCAGCCGACCAGGCCCGGAGCCGGCAGCUGCGGGAGCUGUUCGACUCGCUGGCCAGGGAGGCUGCCGCGGGAGGCGGCACAGGCUUCAGGGACGUCCACGGCUGCGCCCAGGAGGCUCGGCGGCCCAGCGCGGCGCUGGCGCCGGAAGACCUGACGGAGACGGAGUGGUUCUAUCUAAUGUCCGCCUCCUACUCCUUCCCUCCUGGCGUCGGGUUACCUGGAAGGGCCUUUGCAAGGGGAGGGCACGUAUGGCUUAGUAGAGCAAAUGAAGUUGACAGCAAGGCCUUCUCAAGAGCAAUACUUGCCAGGAGUGCAGGAAUCAAGACGGUCGUAUGCAUUCCGAUUGUCGACGGUGUCCUGGAAAUCGGGACCACAGAAAAGGUGGAGGAAGAGAUGGGUUUGGUCCAGUAUGCAAUGGCCAUCUUCAUGGAUCAACAAGAAACCCACAUGAUCCCCAGCAUCUGCCAUUCCAACCAAACCAGUCACAUUGAUCAACAGUCACUCCAAACACACACUGGUCAGACAAAGCCGGAGCCAAACAAGUUUGACCCAGAGUACGAGGAUGAUGAGAUGGAGUACGACGAAGACGAGAUCGAUGCGGGGUGUGCAUCGGGUUCGGAGACCAAUACCGGAAGGGAUUACUGCCGGCAUGGUCCACCGAACAUUACAAGCAAUGAUGAUCAUGCAACACAUAAUGCAGGGAGGAGCAGCGAGCUGAUGCAGGUUGAGAUGUCGGAGAGGGUGAGAGAUGGGUGCUCAAGCAAUUUGGGCGAUGAGAUCCAAAUGCUGAUGGUCUGCCAGAAUGGUACUAGUGACCAUUCCAAUUUGCAUGUGCAAGAUGAGCCCUGGCAUUUUCUCUAUGAGGAGUUGUGCAGUGGCUACCCCCAGUCGUCAGCUGCAGGUGAAGAUCAAGCUAUGGCUGAAAAUGCUCACUACGCACACACAGUCUCGCUGAUCCUGCAUCGCAACAACGCCCGGAGACAGGCCGACGGCCUGAACACCAGGUCCUACCUGGCAGUCUCACACCGAUCUUCAUUCUCCAGAUGGGAUGCUGGCAUCCAUGGACGCACGGUCGCCGAAGGCACCACCCGGCAGAAGAUGCUCAAGAGUGUCCUCCUGUUCUUCAAUGCUGCCUGCAACAAGCCACCUGGUGAUCUGAUUCUGAGGUGCGACGAAGCCGGUGCGCGGAGGGAGGUCGACUUCGGCGCCAGCCAUGUCAUGCAGGAGCGGAAAAGAAGGGAGAAGCUCAACGAGAGGUUCAUCAUCCUGCGGUCCCUGGUGCCCUUCGUCACCAAGAUGGACAAAGCGUCGAUACUCGGGGACACGAUCGAGUACGUGAAGCAGCUGACGAAGCGCAUCCAGGACCUUGAAUCGUCGACGGUCAGGGGGGCGGCGAUGCCGAAAGAGAAGCGUGCGCUGCUGACGGGGAAGGAAGGGCCCAGCAGCAGCAGCGGUAGCAGCAGCAGCGCCCCUGUGGCCACGGACGUGCAGGUGUCCAUCAUCGAGAGCGACGCGCUGCUGGAGCUCCGGUGCCCCGACAGGCGCGGCCUGCUGGUGACCAUCAUGCAGGCGCUCCAGGAGCAGCUCCGGCUCGAGGUCACCUCCGUCCAGGCGUCGUCGGACCACGGCGUGCUGCUCGCCGAAAUGCGAGCCAAGGUGAGGGAGGUGCAUGGGAGGAGCAGCAGCAUUUCUCAAGUGAAGAGAGCGAUCCAUCUCAUCAUCUCAUCGGGAUGA
rnacentral:rRNA from 1 species